rnacentral:rRNA from 1 species
UACGUAGGGUGCAAGCGUUGUCCGGAAUUAUUGGGCGUAAAGAGCUCGUAGGCGGUCUGUCGCGUCGAUCGUGAAAACUUGGGGCUUAACCCUGAGCUUGCGGUCGAUACGGGCAGACUAGAGUUCGGCAGGGGAGACUGGAAUUCCUGGUGUAGCGGUGAAAUGCGCAGAUAUCAGGAGGAACACCGGUGGCGAAGGCGGGUCUCUGGGCCGAUACUGACGCUGAGGAGCGAAAGCGUGGGGAGCGAACAGG